rnacentral:lncRNA from 1 species
UUGAAGCAAAUUAACCAGCAUUGCACCUCUUUUUUAUUUUUAAUAACUUAUUUAAACUCCGGACUUCUUUUGUGUUCAGUAUGCAGCAUUUAAAACUCCGGACUUCUUUUUGUGUAAGUGCCUUGGGAAAAACUCAAGUUUGGCAAACUCUACUGACUAAGAAAUUUCUUCAAAAACAAUUUCUAUCCAAUAAAAAAAGACUAGAGGAUUACACUUUUCAUAGGUUUUGAUGAAUGUGAACCACAAUUUUUAGAGUUACAUUGACAGAGUAGUUGCCAAUGGAGCUAACCCAAUUCUAGGCAGAUUGUUAGUCUAAUGAAAGUCUAGCAAAACAAUUUUCUAGUUUGUACAUCAUAUCUUUCACAAAUCUAGUGACAAUACCAAAAUAUAAAGAUGAAGGUUGGAGAUAUAUCAUAUUCAAAAGGACCUUGUAGUUAGAUAUAGCAGAACCCACUAGUAGAAAAACGGUCAAAUGUGAAGCACAUUAGUGCCGGUUUGAAUUUGAGCCGGCACGAAUGUGACCAUUAGUGCCGAUUCCAACGGAUAGCCGGGCUGCUACCAUUAGUACCGAUUCGUUGCCAAUCUUUAGCACCGGUUCGUGCCACGAACCGAUACUAAUGUGCAUCCCACCAAUCAGGAAGACUCACACGGAUCGUGUGUUUCUUUCUAGCUCUUGCGAGUCAUUGAAUCAAGGGUGUGUUUCUUCCUAGCUCUUGUGAGUCGUUGGAUCGAAACUACCACAAUCACUUUGUGAGCGAGACGACCCUAUAUAUAGCCCACCUCUCGCCUUCCCUGCAUAAGUCUUUCAGUUCAUCGACUACAUACAUCUACCAGUUUAUCGACUGCAUACAUCUACCAGUUCAUCGACCGAAUACAAAUCAUUUGGAUUCGCCAUCAUACGCCCAAUCGUGCAUUUGAUAUGCAUAUAUAUGCAUCACGAGCCACGGUAGGGCUGUAUGAUGGUGAUAUCGAUUGGUUUGUUCUAAAUCCGACAUAAAAGGUUUGAUACAACUUCUUUUUUGUGACAUAAGAGCUAUUUCUCCUCCUACCUAUUUUAGUUACACAACUACCUAUUUGUGCCAAAUUUUCACUUUUGCUGUUGCUCUUGCAUCAUAAGCAUCCAUGUUAACUGGACUUACAAGUAAUGCAAUUUAACCAAACUAUCUUGUGAUCUUCGCCAAAAGAGAGGCAGUAUGAGCGGUUUAUAAGCCGUGAGUGCACAGACAAUGACGAAGAGUUGCAAUGCUCACCUAUAUGUUGAUUAGCUUCAAGCCAUUCGGAAUAGUGUAGACUGCACUGCAGCAUAGAUUGCACUGAGCUAUGUGCAGUGCAGUCUACACUAUUCCAAAUGGCUUGAAGCAAAUUAACCAGCAUUGCACCUUUUUUUAUUUUUAAUAACUUAUUUAAACUCCGGACUUCUUUUGUGUUCAGUAUGCAGCAUUUAAAGCGACGUCAUCAAUUUCCAAUAUGUUCUGACAUCAUUUGUUGUUUUUCGGUCAUUUACCUAAUUGUUCAGUAUGCAGCAUUCAAUUUCCAGAAGAAAAUAAAUAAUGCAGAAAAUAAAAAAACUAUACAAAAA